UUGAAAAGCCCCGAAGCGGCAGUCGCACUGGCCGCCCGUAUGGCUCAGAUUCACAUCGAUUCCGACAUCCCAACCGUCCUUGCCCCUCCGCUCCGUGCUUCUUCAGUUCUUCCUCUCUGUCACCCAGUCACCCUACCCCGUUCGUUGGCCUCCGCUGCGAAAUUUAAAACCUCCCAAGCAGAGCGACGCCCAGAGAAGCCAAGACCCUAUUUCCCCAUAUUAUUAAUAAAAUUGGCUUUGGUGGAAAAAAGCCUUCCCUUUUGGCCUGCGCAAUUCGAGAUUCCGGAGGACCACGGCGGCGGCCGGAUCGGGGUGGCGGCGCGGUUCGGUCGCCGCUGAGCGGAGCUGAUGCGCCGCGCCUCCUGUGAGACAAUGGCCACUUCUCCCCAAGCGAAAAAAAUCUGCUAGAAGACCUUAGAGGGUUUUAACAUUGGGAUGGAUAUUUGGGCCCUUACCUUGCUUUAAGUGGAGAUUCAGUUUUCUGUUUUCACUUAAUAUGACAACUGAAGAGCGAAAGACUUUGAAGGGCACAGAGUCUUCAGCUCCUUCUGUUCCUCCUGAUGGAGGAGUCAGCAAGGAACCUCAAAAAGGGGGGAGAUUAUCCAAUGGGAGGACAACUGGUCCAGCACGCCGCUCAUCCAAGGGCAACUGGACUCUAGAAGAGGAUGACAUACUUCGCAAAGCUGUUGAAACCUACAAGGGAAAAAAUUGGAAAAAGAUAGCUGAAUGUUUUCCAGGUAGGACUGAUGUUCAAUGUUUGCAUAGAUGGCAGAAGGUUUUGAACCCUGAGCUUGUUAAAGGGCCUUGGUCGAAAGAAGAAGAUGAGAUCAUUACUCAGAUGGUAAAUAAACUUGGGCCAAAGAAAUGGUCGACCAUUGCCCAAGCUCUUCCUGGACGUAUUGGAAAGCAAUGUCGGGAAAGAUGGCACAACCAUCUUAAUCCUGGGAUCAAUAAGGACGCAUGGACACAAGACGAGGAAAUCAGGCUCAUCCAUGCUCAUCAAACUUAUGGAAACAAAUGGGCUGAAUUGACAAAGUUUUUACCAGGAAGGACAGACAAUGCAAUUAAAAAUCAUUGGCACAGCUCGGUGAAGAAGAAAGUUGAUUCAUACAGAUCAUCUGGUUUACUGGCUCAAUCCCAGGGCUUCACACCUGUUGAAUACACUGCUGGUGGUUUAAAUGUUGAUUCUUCAUCUGCAAUAACCAAUCAAAUUAGCGAAGGCAGUGGUUUUAAUGUUUUUCGGGAGGCUGAAGAUUCGAUGGAGUUAAGUCAGUCUUCGUUUGCCAAGGGUUCUUGCUCUCAGGAGGAGCAAAAUGAUGUGACUUUGGGAUCUCAUUUGCAUGUGCAUGAAUCUUUGUGUCCAGAUGGUUCCACUAAUGAUGGCAAUGGUGCUUCUGGUUUACCUGACAUUCAUCACCGCUUAUGCACUUCUGACAUGGAUCAAGAUAAACACUUGCAGGAAGGAAUGGAUUUGGAUAAACACUUGCAGCAUGAAUUCUCUCAAGGAACGGAUUUGCAUCUUGAUGUAGAUGAAGUGCCAAACAACUUUGUGAUAAAAGGUAGCCAGUCAUCUAAUGAGCUUGCAGUUCAAUUUCAUGACACAGAGAUUAUGAAUAGUUCAAAAAAUGAUGGAGUGUCUUUGGUACCACAUGCUAUAACACCAUGUGUUCCCAUCUUACCUAGUGUUUCUGGAUGUGUGCAUAACAUAAAUGUGAUAUACGAAAUGGGCAUAAAAAAUGAUAAUUGUUUCCAAUCUGAAAAGUGCCAGGAUAUUUCCAUUCAAUCAGGUGCAUACUCGUCUGAAGCUGCAGGCAGCUUUUUAGCACCACUUUACCCAUUGCAGACAUCUGAACCAGCAAUAAUGAUGGGUGGCCCUGUGUACUAUCAGAGUUCUGUAAUGUCAUUACCACCAGGCUUUAUUUCUUCUGAUGGUGCUUCUAAUGCAUCUGGUGUCAAAUCUGAGACAAGUUACUAUCCUGUUUCUCGCCAAAAUUUGGAGAUUAAAACUUGCCACAAUGCUUCUGGUGAUCCUGAACAAAAUUCAUAUAUUAGCAGCGAAGAUGACAGAAACAAGACUUCUGAACCUAUGGGCAGAAUAUCAGAAUCUGAAAAGAAACAGCAAGUUGAUGUUGAACAAUCAUGUUUGGAGCCUGCAGCCUGCAUUGGAAAGGAAGCAUUAUCUAGUCAUGGUGACACCAUAUUAAGUAAAAAGGAGGAUGCUGGAGCUCUAUGCUAUGAACCUCCUUGCUUUCGGAGUUUUGAAUUUCCCUUUGUCAGCUGUGAGCUUGUAAACUCCAGCGAUCUCCCAGAAUAUAGUCCUCUUGGCAUUCGAGAGUUGAUGAGGACAUCCUUGAACUUCCCUACCCCAGUAAGAUUGUGGGGCUCCCCUACUAGGGAUGGUAGCCCUGAUGCUGUGCUAAAGAAUGCUGCCAAAAGAUUCAUGUGCACCCCGUCCAUAAUGAAAAAAAGGCACAGAGAUCUUUUAUCUCCAGUUUCUGAUAUAAGAACUGACAAGAAACCAAAUACUGAAAGGGAUUUUAUGAGCUCAGGCAUAUCCUCUACAAGAGUUGGGAAAUCUUGCAUGGAUAGCGCUGAUGAUUCAGCUGAUUUAGUUUCACCGAAAGAGAGUGCAUUUCAAAAGAAGCUGAAGCUUUGUCACGAAAACAAAGAAAAUUUGAAUGAAAUUGCUGAUCAAGGAGAAAAUGAAGCCAAUGCAAAGCAUUCUUCAGGGAUUCUUACUCCGAGCAGUGUUGACAACCAUAAUACACAUAAGCAUGGUCCAAAUUUUCGAAUUCAGGAGCUAAAUACCACUGUACAGGCUUUGUCUAACUCUAAAGACAUAAUAUUUUCUAGAUCAAAGCCAUCAGAACAUGUUGAAAAAUCUGCAGCCUGCAUUGAUGCAGAUUACGAGUAUUUGAACAUAUUGGCUGAUACUCCAGGUAUUAAAAGAGGCUUAGAAUCUCCUUCUGCCUGGAAGUCUCCUGUGUUCACACCAUUCCAGGAUGCAUACUUCAUGAGCCCAGCAAGCAGAGCUUUUGAUGCCUUAGGAUUGGUGAAGCAGAUUAAUGAGCAGAGUGCUUCUGCUGUGGAGGAAGCACAUGAAGUUCUGGCAAAUGGAAGCCCAUGGAAACAACAUAACAAGGAAAACUCUGACAAAGAAAAUAUAGAAAAUACAGCUUUGAAGCAUGAGCAUGUCACAAGCAAACCUCCAUCGAUACUCAUGCCUAGUUCCAGUCUCCGGCUGUUAGAAAUAAGCAACAAGGAUUAUGGAUGCUAAUGCAAAUUCUCAGUGGCAAACUGGCAAUAAUCUAAGCCUAUCAGUAGACAUCAGUUUUGCAUGGAACAUCAAAUUCUAGUGGACAUAUCAAUUAGAUCAGUUGGGUAAUUCAUGUGGCCUAUGAUACCUGAACUUAUGUGGAGGAUGAAUGAAAUUGACAUUUUGAGGAAAUGGAAAACCAAGUGGCUUGUAGAGGCACGGGUGCUCGAUUUCAAUGAAUGCUCCACACCUGUGAGGAAGAAAGACGAUAAGAAAGUGGAAAUAGUUUUAGGAGGACCUGCAACAUCCCCUGUUACUUCCUCGCAUCUUUGGAUAAAUAUGCGGUAGCCCUUUGAGGUUGCGACAUCGCCUGGCGCUGGUUGCAAGUCACCAUGGGCAGCAUGCCGAUGCCGCGCCGACGCUCCCUUCCCCAGUCCCUAUCGCCACGCCGGUGUCACCACCGUCCGUUGGGAUUAGGGUUGCGUGUGCGUCAUGUCGCACGUCAGGCGUGCAGAGAGGCAACAACCCUCCAAUCAGGCUAAAGAUUGUUGGGUCCGAUGGGCCACAUGAUAGAGAAAGAGGCUGGUUGAUAUGAAAUUUUGGUCCAAAUAGCUAUAAAACAUUGUUGUUUUUUAUGUUUUUACAAUAUUUUAGUGUGUAUACAUUGC